rnacentral:rRNA from 1 species
AAAAAAAGUGAUGGUGUCAGUCGCUUCUAUUGUCGCUUGAACAACCUUAACUUUUAGGUACAGUUAGAUAUUAGUUUAACGACUGCGUACCACUACUCCUUCUUGAUUUUUACCAGAGGUAAACACCUUGACCUCCAAACCCAUUUUGCUGUCAACGGGUACGUCAAAUAUCCUUCUAACGUUUACUUAAAUUUAUAUUAAAAAAACAACUGUACGGGGCAUUAGAACUGUAUUUUCACUAGUAACCUUGGUAUACACGACUUCAACCAACAGGAGCGGGGUUCAAACUUCUUACACCACAAGUCGUUGAUCAGCUGGCUGAGUUUUAUAAGAAACUUCCCUUUUCCAUGAACUAGCAAAAACUACCGAACACCUGGUGUAGUCAUACCCUAGUUUAAGACGGACGUGACUUUCUAUUAUCUGUACCUUCAUCUUAUUAUUAAUGUUGGGCCUUACAGUCAUAACGACUUGUACAACCACCGGAAAUAGCAGACGGUGAAGAAAGAACGCUGCUGAGCUUGUACAAUAAGAAGGCUUCUUGUAAUAAACCGUCAUUUCUACUAACAGGAAGAGUUAAAUCUCUUAACAGACUCUUUUACAACUCAUCUACACCUGUCAAUGGUAAUCGGUAGUGACAGUAUUGACUAAACGACGGAUUUCUAUCCCACAACCUCCUUACCGUUUUCCACACACUAAGAUAACUUUCCCCAUUGCCAUACCUCUUAUAGUCUUCUCAAGAUUUUGUGUCAAUACUACUAGAUGGAGGUCUAGAGGUCUCUACGAACAACACAGAUUCAUAAAAGGGUCUCCCGAUACUCUAACCUUCUCUAUCAAACCACGUCUCUACCUACCGACUUCUAAAUUAUGCACCCUUCGUACCUGUCUUGAAUGUCCUUGACCCACUCUCAAUAAAAAGACUUGAGCAUUUAAGAUUGUACUAGGUUGGUUAUCUUAAACUGCCAAGACCUUCCCUAGACCAAAUGGCACAUGGACAUUGUUGAGAACUAGAAUAACAGCUAAACAGAUAAGCGCUCUUGAAACAAUGAUAUAAUGGAUCGGAUGUUGCUUGUCUAGAGGGUUCACUCCAUGUUGCUAAUAGAGAGGCUCCGUCGUUAUUAUUCGUACUCAAUUUUCGUUAGUUCUUGUAACUGGUUCACUCAAGUGAGAGGGAGAAAUUACCACGACCAAACUACGUCGGUGAAAGUUUUAAAGUUCCCGACGUUCACAAUGUAAAUGUCUUUACACUAAGACACUUCUUACUUCCACUAAGACACUUCUUACUUGCUCUAAGACACUUCUUACUUCCACAAAGACACUUCUUACUUCCUCUAAGACACUUCUUACUUCUAGAAUUGCCAGAACUCUCAAACCUGUUCGACUCCAUAGAACAAGAUCCGUCGUCAGUAUAAUGGCUCUAGGGGUUUUACUAGCCCUUUGAUGCGGUAGACGUCUAUGACCUAAACUGCCGUUGAGCACAUUUUCUCGACGGUAGUUCGUAACCAUUCGAAUGUUUUAACGCCGCAGACGAAUAAUUGUCUAGGUGUCUUCAUGGUCUAUUCUAGUAACCCUUUGAUCUUCGAGAUCUUCUUGACCACCCGUAACUAUAGAGGUUCAGAGGUUUAUAAGACGUUCUCUAACCAUGGUACGGUCUUGACUCCCACGAGUCGUAACGGAACACCAGCACCCUACUCGUAGUAUGGUGUGAAGAGAGGGUCUAAUAGACGUUUGACCGAUACUUCUUUGAGUCUGUAGAGAGAUAGACGAGAACGACAAAUGAUCUAAACUUCGGUCUAAACUUCGGUCUAGACGUCGGCCAAGAGGUUGACCUUUUCGAACUCUAUGUCCCGUCGUAUAAGCUCUUUAAUGGUUGCACCUAAUUGCCUGAGUGGGUAGAGGCGAGGAACAGGUAGCUCUAGAUGAGGAACCUUUUAUUACGGGAACUUCAUGAACCCCUUAAUCUCGAAGAAAAGGAUAGGGAACAACGUUUCUCCUGGAGUCCUCUUUUCAACCACUAAUACUGUUUAUUUAAGACAUGGGACCUUUGAAAGGAAGACAAGUCGGCACGGUGUCGUUAGCUCAAACUUGUUCCUCGAUACCUCUUUGAAGUUUCCGAAUUCAAUUGCGACGUCCGCAGUGACUGUUUCUGCCUAGUAGAACCGGACCUAUGAGAGAGAAGUGAACUCGUGCAGGUUCAACUUUAAUAGACGUAGUCACGGUGCCUACCCCUACACUUCCAACGACUCCGACGUUAGGCCUCGUACUAACCUUUAUUGGGGGCAUUUGGAUCUGAACUUUACUUUUCUUAGCACCUCCCUAUAUACCUUCUUCUAUUUUUCUUUCUCAGUCUUACACUUUAGCUCCAUCUUCUACUUCUAGUUCUUCGUGAGGCAUACUGUUUCGGCCUUCUUGUCUGGCAAUGUCGUUUCUUCUUCUUCUCGUCCUCCCGUUCCUUCUUCUUGUUCUCCGUAAUGAUCUUUGUUACUUCUAGCCACGGAAGUGGAUGGACCCACCUGAAAGUAAAACAAAAACAAUCACAAGACAUAAACGAAGGCAAACGUGCACUUAAGUACUUGAUAGUGGUCGUCCCACGGAGCACGUAUUGUAGUCUUGAAAUAUUAGACAUUAUCCUGAUCAGCAGAGGCAUGAAUUUUUGGCUACGUAGUACCGCGACGGUCAAAAAAACGGGGUAUCGGGUUUAGGCCCACCACCCAAAAAGACCACCAUGCCACGAAUGUUGAGAGCAAAUUAAAGAACAUGUAUCAAGUAAAUAACGGCAACACUUUAUAUUAGUUCUUACUCCCUUU